rnacentral:rRNA from 1 species
AUACGGAGGAUCCGAGCGUUAUCCGGAUUUAUUGGGUUUAAAGGGUGCGCAGGCGGCCAUUUAAGUCAGCGGUUAAAUCGUGGGGCUCAACCCCAUUCUGCCGUUGAUACUGGGUGGCUUGAUUGCGGUCGAGGUUGGCGGAAUUCGUUGUGUAGCGGGGAAAUGCAUAGAUAUGACGAAGAACACCGAUUGCGUAGGCAGCUGACCAGACCGCAAAUGACGCUCAUGCACGAAAGUGCGGGGAUCGAACAGGAUUAGAUACCCUGGUAGUCCGCACAGUAAACGAUGAAUACUUGUUUUCGGCGAUAUAAUGUCGGAGGCAAAGCGAAAGCGAUAAGUAUUCCACCUGGGGAGUACGCCGGCAACGGUGAAACUCAAAUGAAUGGACGGGG